rnacentral:rRNA from 1 species
UACGGAGGGUCCAAGCGUUAUCCGGAAUCAUUGGGUUUAAAGGGUCCGCAGGCGGGCUAUUAAGUCAGUGGUGAAAUCUCUUGGCUUAACCAAGAAAUUGCCAUUGAAACUACUAGUCUUGAAUUCGGUCGAAGUGGGCGGAAUGUGUCAUGUAGCGGUGAAAUGCAUAGAUAUGACACAGAACACCGAUAGCGAAGGCA